GAAUCUCUGGAGAGUCUCUGAAAAAGAGCGCCGAAGGUGUAAGACGGCAGGAGCUGUUGAUCUCUCAGGCAAAAGGACAGGGC
rnacentral:ncRNA from 1 species